rnacentral:lncRNA from 1 species
GAAAAACAUUUAAAAAUCAAAAAAGGGUACAUUACAUUUUCUAAGACUCUGGGGGACCACUCGAAGAAGGUUCCUCUUCCACUCUUUGCUUCUUGCUGAGGAACCUGUCCAUGGUCUGCUGCUUCAUCCGCCUUUUCAGCAGCUCCCUGAGAGGCAACAUGACCGUCGUAUCAAAAGUGUUCGCUUGGUCAUGUGCCACGUGCUUGAUAGGGUGGUGCCGCUCUGCAAAAGCCUGCACCUCCUUCCACUUCUGGCAAAUGUCCCUCAGUUCUUUGGAGGACGGCCGUUCCUCAGUUGCUUCCUCCUCUUCCAGCGAGGCCUGCUCCUGCGCAACCUCUGACUGCAGUUCAACCAGCUCCUGGGUGGUCAGCUCGUGGUCGUGCUCCUCCACCAGCUCGCAGACGUCCUCCUCUGUGACCUCCAGGCCCAUGGUCCUCCCCAAGGCAACAAUGUCCUGCACCACUGUUGACUCUGGUGCAUCAGAGUCACUUGGUGCCACACAGUCCGGCCACAGGCUGCGCCAAGCGCAAUUCAAAUUUCUCUGGCUGAUCCCGUUCCAGGCCGUGGUGAUCAUCUUCAAGCAGGUGACGAUGUCGAAGUGGUCCUUCCAGAAUUCCCGCAGGGUGAUGGUGGUGCAAUCAGUCACCUCGAAGCAUCGCCUGAAAAGCUCCUUGGUGUAGAGUUUCUUGAAAUUGGCGAUGACCUGCUGAUCCAUCGGCUGGAGCAGUGGCGUGGUGUUAGGCGGCAGGAACAUGAUGUUGAUGAAGCUGAACUCCUCCAACAAGUCCACCUCAAGGCCUUUAGGAUGAGCAGGAGCAUUGUCCAUCAGAAGCAAAGCCUUCAGCGGCAGGUCGUUGUCCAGCAGGUACUGUUUGACAGCAGGGCCAAAAGCAAGAUUGACCCAGUCCACAAACAGCACACGUGUGACCCAAGCCUUGCUGUUGGAUCGCCACAUGACACUCAGCCGCUCCUUGUCGACCUUGUGUUUCUUGAAGGCCCGUGGGUUCUCCGAGUGGUACACCAGCAGGGGCUUGAUCUUCAGGUCGCCGCUUGCGUUGGCACAGAAGAGCAGGGUCAGACGGUCCUUCAUGGGCUUGUGGCCAGGCAACUUGGCCUCCUCCUGUGUGAGGAAAGUCCUUUUGGGCAUCCUCUUCCAAAACAGCCCGGUCUCGUCGCAGUUGAAGACCUGCUGUGGAACGUAGCCCUCCGUCUUCACAACCUCCAGGAACUCCAAGGCAAAGUCUUCAGCCGCAGGAACAUCAGAACUGGCAGCCUCUCCAUGCCUGACCACGCUGUGGAUUCCAGAUCUUGCCUUGAACCGGUCAAACCAGCCUCUGCUUGCCUUGAAGACUUCUGGCUCGGCCGAGGUUCCUGGCUGUUCCCGGAUGAGGUCUGCGUGCAAGGCCUUGGCCUUCUCACAAAUGACGGCCUCAGUCACUGUGUCCCCUGCACGCUGCUUCUCUUCUAACCAGAUGAGCAGCAACUUCUCGACCUCCUCCAGAACAGCUGGGCGGUUCUUCACGAUCCUGGUGACUCCCUUGGCUGCAUCAGUCGCAAGGAUCUUCUCCCUCAUCUUCAGGAUGGUCCCGAUGGUCGAUGGGUUCCUGCCGUACUCCCUGGCGAGGUCCGUCACACGCAUUCCACCGUCGUGCUUCCGGAUGAUCUCCUUCUUCAUCUCCAGCGUCACCUUCUCCUUCUUCCUCUCGCCGGCCUCCGCAGCAGCAGCAGUCUUCUUGGGUCCCAUGGCAGCACAGCUGUUACCUUUGUAAACUCAG